AGGACGAACGCUGGCGGCGUGCUUAACACAUGCAAGUCAAGGGGGCCCGAGCAAUGGGCAACCGGCGAACGGGUGCGUAACACGUGAGCAACCUACCGAACUGUGGGGGAUAGCCGGCCUAACGGCCGAGUAAUACCGCAUACGCUCUCGAUGAGGCAUUUCAUUGAGAGGAAACCUACGGGACAUUUCGAGGAGCUCGCGGCCUAUCAGCUAGUUGGAGAGGUAACGGCUCACCAAGGCAACGACGGGUAGCU
rnacentral:rRNA from 1 species